AUCUGGCUGCAGUUCCGCCCUUACCUUUGACCACGGAUGUACUGGCACUGAUGUGAAGGCGGAUGGCGAAAGGCCGGGUCAUUCCGGCCUUUUUGUUU
rnacentral:sRNA from 1 species